CAGAUAGAGCCCGAACUAUGACU
rnacentral:siRNA from 1 species